rnacentral:rRNA from 1 species
CUUGCUUACACCAAGACAACAUCUGUUAAAUCCAGAUCAUUUUGAGCCUAACAUCUAGCCCACAUAACUCUUAUGCCACCCUUAACCCUCCGAUUUUAAAUAAAACAUUUUUUUUAACUUUAGUACAGGAGAUAGAAAAAUUUCCAGGCGCUUCAGAUAUAGUACCGCAAGGGAAUGAUGAAAUAAAAAUGAAACAACUUUAAGCCCAAAAUAGCAGAGAUAUCCCCUCGUACCUUUUGCAUCAUGGUCUAGCCAGUCUAAUCGAGCAAAAAGUAAUUUAAGUCCGAUACCCCGAAACUAAGCGAGCUACUUCAAAACAGCCUAAUAGGGCCAACCCGUCUCUGUUGCAAAAGAGUGGGAAGAUUUUUAAGUAGAGGUGAUAAGCCUAUCGAGCCUAGAGAUAGCUGGUUGUUUAGGAAAAGAGUUUUAGCUCUACCUUAAGUUUUUUUAUUUCUUAAAUAAGCUCACAAAACUUAAGAGCUAUUUAAAUAAGGCACAGCUUAUUUAAUAAAGGAUACAACCUCUUAUAAUGGGUAAAUAAGGACAACAAUGAUAUAGUGGGCCUAAAAGCAGCCACCUAACCAAAAGCGUUAUAGCUUAAUCUUAAUACACCCCUAAUUUUUUAAUUAUACUCAACCCUUUACUUGUACUAAACUAUUUUAUACUUCUAUAAAAGCUAUUAUGCUAGAACUAGUAACAAGAAAUUGAUUUUCUCCUAAAUGUACAUGUAACCCAGAAUACUUAUCCUGACAAUUAACGUAAAUGCCCUAUUGUAGUAACAAACAUCCAGAAAACCCUACAUCCUCAAAACGUUAACCUCACACAAGAGCAUUACAGGAAAGAUUAAAAGAGAAAGAAGGAACUCGGCAAACCUUAACCCCGCCUGUUUACCAAAAACAUCGCCUCUUGAAUAUAUAAGAGGUCCAGCCUGCCCAGUGACAAAGUUUAACGGCCGCGGUACCCUAACCGUGCAAAGGUAGCAUAAUCACUUGUUCUUUAAAUAAGGACUAGUAUCAACGGCAUCACGAGGGUUACACUGUCUCCUUUCUCUAAUCAGUGAAACUGAUCUCCCCGUGAAGAAGCGGGGAUUUUUUUAUAAGACGAGAAGACCCCAUGGAGCUUUAAACAAGAUACUCACCCCUAUUAUAAAUCAACUAAUAACAAAUCCUGAGUAUUAGCUUUAGGUUGGGGAGACCGCGGAGUAAAAUUUAACCUCCACAACAAAUGGGCUAAGCCCUUAUCCACGAGCCACAGCUCUAAGAAUUAAAAACUAAUGUUUCAUGACCCGAUUAUUCGAUCAACGAACCAAGUUACCCUGGGGAUAACAGCGCAAUCUACUUCAAGAGCCCAUAUCGACAAGUAGGUUUACGACCUCGAUGUUGGAUCAGGGUAUCCAAGCGGUGCAGCU